rnacentral:lncRNA from 1 species
AUUCAAUGUGAGCAAUUAUCAUAAAUUUACAGUCGAUGAUUACAUUUAAAGGUUAGGAGAACUUGGGACAGGUGGAGCGUAUAUUGGAUGGAACUGGCCUUGAGGACCAUUUUACUAUACCGAAACUCCCUCUAAUCAGAGCAGUGAUAGACAAAUUGGCUACCCUAGGACUUCCCUUUUAGCUCAAAGAGGUUGAUAUCAGCAAAAAACUAAAUCAAGAAACGCAGGUCAGAAAAGAAAUACUUAAUGACUUUUGUACUCAAAUUGACAUAUAGAAUUGCCCAGACAAUAGAUUUGCAUUCAAGUCAAUGCUGAAUCAUUUUUGUUAAAAUAUUUGGACGCUGUGUUGAGAGAAGGUUUUUCACAUCUUUCAAUCAAUGGAAUUAUGCUUUGGAUAGAAUUACAUCCUUACGGGUGUUACCAGAUGUGCCUAGCAGACAACAAUGUUCAAAACCUUCUGGCUGAUAACGUUGUUGACACCCUCUUAAAGCAGUGGCAACCUGCGGUGGUGGAAGGACAGACAGAUAACCAAGCUUCAUUCAGCUUUGAUAGAUAACCAAGAUCACCUCUCCCACCAUUGGAGAAGGCCACGUGCGCUUAACGUUUGUCCAAGUUUACGUGGGUUUAACAUGUGAAUGGGAGUGGCGUUGGAAUAUGUUGGCUGCUUGAAAACUGAGGUCAAAACAUGAAAGCAGAACAUCAUGAUAAUAACUAUCACUUAGGCUGGACUGAUAUCAUGGCCCAGGCCUAGAAUUCAAUCUCACUUGGACUAAACCAGAUGGUUUUUGUCUGAACCCAGCCUGCACUUGCAGAAAUAGACCAUCAAUCAGGGAUACAAACUUUGAAGUCCUAGGUUCCUAUUCACAAUACAGGAUGGGGCUUGCUACUCUGACAAGGGCCGUGACAGGGUGCCAAUUGUUUUGAGUAGAAUUAUUCAUCCUGGAUAUAUCAUGUCCACCAUAUUCCUAAACAACACGAUAGAUUUUGAAAAC